rnacentral:rRNA from 1 species
UAGCAAUAGCUAAUUGCAAGUAUCGACUUCGUCGAAUAAAAUUCUAGGUGGAAUUAUGAUAAUGACAUUAUCCGCCUAUGUGUCUUGACCAAAUUACGUGCCAGCAGUCGCGGUAAUACGUAGAAGACUAGUGUUAUUCAUCUUUAAUAGGUUUAAAGGGUACCUAGACGGUAAAUCAAGCACUAAUUUACUAGAGUUACUUGUGAGGGGGUAUUAAAGUACUGCUGGUGGAGAGAUGAAAUUCUGUGAUACCUAUUUUCGAUGGCACAGGUAUAGGCGAAAGCAUCCCCUUAUGUGAUAACUGACGUUGAAG